UGGGAACUGGCGUUUUUGGUCCCUGUUUGUGGUUUUUCUUCUGUUCUCCCUGUUUAUCGGCGGUUCCUCAUUUCAUCCACCUGAGGGCGCCAGAGGCAGCACUAAGGAUGGGUGUGCCCAUGAUUCAGCACACCUGUUGUUCAUCUUCUAAUCAUCCUGAAGCUUAAGAGGAGUGGACUGCCUGCACUUCAGCGCCUGAGUGUUUGCCAGUGAUGGUACCUCGAGCCUCUCUGAGUUGACUCUCUGUGAUUUGGUUCUCUGAGAAAUACCUAGAGUAAAUUCUCCUUGUCCUUUUCCUCUCUCAGGUGUUUUCCUUGAGACACUGAGUACUCUCGUUGUGAAGACCCAGCUCUGGCCUUCUGGAUUUCCACUUCUCGUGACGCCGUGGAAAUUACCCACUGGUUGCCCGAGCCCAACAGUCAUCUCCUCAACCAGAUCACCAACAGUUAUUGGAGGUUUCCCCAGCUGGCAGUCCGACCGCUCCUUUUUCCUUCCUCCACGCUCAGAACUUACCUGUCCACCCUCCACCACAACCAAGUGGACCAAGACCCGAACUGGCAGUACUCUCUCCCAGACUGAACCUACCAUCUCACAAAUGAGUCGACAACUCCGUGAGCCUGAUCCCGGAUUUAUUCUCCCUCAACAAUCUUAUCAUUUUGUGCAAAUAAAAUCAUUUAACUGA